UACGGAGGGUGCAAGCGUUAUCCGGAUUCACUGGGUUUAAAGGGUGCGUAGGCGGGCAGGUAAGUCAGUGGUGAAAUCUCCGAGCUUAACUCGGAAACUGCCGUUGAUACUAUUUGUCUUGAAUAUUGUGGAGGUAAGCGGAAUAUGGUCAUGUAGCGGUGAAAUGCUUAGAUAUGACAUAGAACACCAAUUGCGAAGGCAGCUUACUACACAACGAUUGACGCUGAGGCACGAAAGCGUGGGGAUCAAACAGG
rnacentral:rRNA from 1 species